rnacentral:rRNA from 1 species
UGAGCAAUCUGCCCUUCUCUUCGGAAUAAGCGUGGGAAACCGCGUCUAAUGCCGAAUACGACCUCCUUUCGCAUGAUCGGAGGUGGAAAGCUCCGGCGGAGAAGGAUGAGCUCGCGGCCUAUCAGCUAGUUGGUGUGGGUAAUGGCCCACAAGGCGACGACGGGUAGCCGGCCUGGAGAGGGUGACCGGCCACACUGGGACUGAGACACGGCCCAGACUCCUACGGGAGGNGCAGG